rnacentral:rRNA from 1 species
UACGAAGGGGGCUAGCGUUGUUCGAAAUUACUGGGCGUAAAGCGCACGUAGGCGGAUCCUUAAGUCAGGGGUGAAAUCCCGAGGCUCAACCUCGGAACUGCCUUUGAUACUGGGGAUAUCGAGUCCGGGAGAGGUGAGUGGAACUGCGAGGUGUAGAGGUGAAAUUCGUAGAUAUUACGCAAGAACACCAGUGGCGAAGGCGGACUCACUGGCCCGG